UCCGGCCCCCCCCCCCCCCCCCCCCGGCACCAUACCCCGAUCUGGUUACCCCUGCUGGUGAGCCAGACAGAUGCUCACUGUGUGAGUGAGUGAGUGAGAGAGAGAGAGAGCGAAAGAGAGGAGCAGGAUGUACAAGCUGCUGUGGUUCUGGACGAGCGUGGCUCUUCUGAUGUCCUGCUGUGGGCUUCAACUGGACUACAUCACACAGGACCCAGGAGAAUACGACUAUUCAAACUCCACAGACUACUACCUAUUCUUUGACAAUGAAACGGUGAUUGACUAUGACGACUGGGGAAGUGGUUCAGCCGACCAGACGGUUGUCGGUAUGGGUCAGGUGACCCUGGUUCUGCUGCUUGGAUUGGCUUUCCCACAUGUCCUUCAUUGAGUGGGCGGGCUUUAAGCCUCCAGAUCUUCGGCCCAGCCAGAGAGGGACAAGUUUGAAGCGUCCAAUCAGAAGGAGAGACCAUGGUACCUGUCUGAGCUCCGUCGACUCCAGCACCGCCCAGCACGAUUACUAUUCCCCACAGUUGGACAUCGUUUCCAUCAUGGCUAAGAAACAUGCAUUCAAAUGAUAUUUUGCAGUUUAUUUUUAUAAAUAAAGGUUUGUUCAAAUCCCUGGUUCAACCCCAAGUUCCCCGGUGAUCAGAGAUGCACAUCGGUGAACAGUCGUUGUCGUACAUUGCAUGACGGGUAUGAGGAUGUGGAGCACUAUUCAGGGACCCUGAUUGGUUGACUGUUUAGGACGCGUCACUGUCAUAUCUCACAGGGUACAGCGGACAUGUUUGAACCCAUCUGGAUCUCAUCUCUGAAUGCGCCACACUUAGCAGCAUCACUUCAUUAAGGCCCCGUUUACACAAAGGGAAAACGCAGAUAUUUCCACGCGGUUUGGCCUCUCAUUUACACGAAAACGCAGUUAUCACAGAAAACGAUCAUUUCUAAAAACUCCGGCCGAAGUGGAGAUUUCUGAAAACGCCGGUUAUGUGUUGUCGUGUCAACGGGGAGAAACAGGGUUUUAGGUUCUGAAGCGUCACAUUAUGCGCCAGGAAAUGCUUAACGUCAUAGGAGCGCCCUAUGUUUACAGUUUGUUUGUUACAGGAAGACGCUCGUGUUAUUCGUUGUUGAUUCUGAGGAUUCUGAUUGGCUUUCAUGGCUUUAUCCUUCUCCCUACACUGCCGCCCAUAGGUUUGGCAUAGUUAUAAUGGCGCUCGACGGCGUAUUUAUGCGUUUUGCUGUAAACGACAACUUUUUUGAAAACGAUGUGUGCACAAUGUUAUAACGGAGGGGGGGAAAUAUUUGUUUCCAUAAAUACCCUGCUACGUA
rnacentral:lncRNA from 1 species